rnacentral:rRNA from 1 species
AUUGAACGCUGGCGGCAUGCCUUACACAUGCAAGUCGAACGGCAGCACGGGUGCUUGCACCUGGUGGCGAGUGGCGAACGGGUGAGUAAUACAUCGGAACAUGUCCUGUAGUGGGGGAUAGCCCGGCGAAAGCCGGAUUAAUACCGCAUACGAUCUACGGAUGAAAGCGGGGGACCUUCGGGCCUCGCGCUAUAGGGUUGGCCGAUGGCUGAUUAGCUAGUUGGUGGGGUAAAGGCCUACCAAGGCGACGAUCAGUAGCUGGUCUGAGAGGACGACCAGCCACACUGGGACUGAGACACGGCCCAGACUCCUACGGGAGGCAGCAGUGGGGAAUUUUGGACAAUGGGCGAAAGCCUGAUCCAGCAAUGCCGCGUGUGUGAAGAAGGCCUUCAGGUUGUAAAGCACUUUUGUCCGGAAAGAAAUCCUUGGCCCUAAUACGGUCGGGGGAUGACGGUACCGGAAGAAUAAGCACCGGCUAACUACGUG